UUAAGAGUCUAGGACCAUUGUGACGAAGUAUGAGGUUUAAUGAAAAAUGAUUUUUAAACUAGGGUUCUCACUUUACAUGAUCUAGGGAUUUUGAGAAAUUGGGUGUAAGACACUGCCCUUAGAGUCAUGGACUCCCUUGACUGUCUGCCGCUUAUGUCAAUUUACUUGCCAUGUGACAGCUCCAUCAAGGAAAUCUACUCUAAGUGAGAUCUUCAUAUCGACCCUCGCGAGGAAAGCUCCCCGGGGACCUAUACUACACGACCAUCGGUCUAGGCUAACCAAGGUUAAAUGUUCUAAAAAGGGGGUCUUAGGGUCACGAACUCUAAUGAAGAUAAGGAUGCUUACGCCGAAAGCACGACGGUCAUCAAUACCUCUAAGAAUGUCUACCACUAAAUGAGGUUCUCAUAUGAACCUACACGAGGAAAGCUCCCAGGGGACCCAUACUACUCAAUCUCUCAUAUCCCAAGCAAACUCUCAGACUCGGGUGAAGAAUCUUUCACACAAGGUUUUCAUUGCAAUCAUCAUUGUAACCC
rnacentral:lncRNA from 1 species